CUAUAAUGCAGUCGAGCGGACAGAAGGGAGCUUGCUCCCGGAUGUUAGCGGCGGACGGGUGAGUAACACGUGGGUAACCUGCCUGUAAGACUGGGAUAACUCCGGGAAACCGGAGCUAAUACCGGAUAGUUCCUUGAACCGCAUGGUUCAAGGAUGAAAGACGGUUUCGGCUGUCACUUACAGAUGGACCCGCGGCGCAUUAGCUAGUUGGUGAGGUAACGGCUCACCAAGGCGACGAUGCGUAGCCGACCUGAGAGGGUGAUCGGCCACACUGGGACUGAGACACGGCCCAGACUCCUACGGGAGGCAGCAGUAGGGAAUCUUCCGCAAUGGACGAAAGUCUGACGGAGCAACGCCGCGUGAGUGAUGAAGGUUUUCGGAUCGUAAAGCUCUGUUGUUAGGGAAGAACAAGUGCAAGAGUAACUGCUUGCACCUUGACGGUACCUAACCAGAAAGCCACGGCUAACUACGUGCCAGCAGCCGCGGUAAUACGUAGGUGGCAAGCGUUGUCCGGAAUUAUUGGGCGUAAAGGGCUCGCAGGCGGUUUCUUAAGUCUGAUGUGAAAGCCCCCGGCUCAACCGGGGAGGGUCAUUGGAAACUGGGAAACUUGAGUGCAGAAGAGGAGAGUGGAAUUCCACGUGUAGCGGUGAAAUGCGUAGAGAUGUGGAGGAACACCAGUGGCGAAGGCGACUCUCUGGUCUGUAACUGACGCUGAGGAGCGAAAGCGUGGGGAGCGAACAGGAUUAGAUACCCUGGUAGUCCACGCCGUAAACGAUGAGUGCUAAGUGU
rnacentral:rRNA from 1 species